GGGACAAAAAGAGAAAAACAAAUAUAUCUAACCUCGUCAGUAAUUAUAGGCGCUUUGUCCAUCGUGUCGUUGAUCGGGCUGGGCGGUGACGUGGGGCUAGCACUGGGACUUACGUGAAAAACCUUGGAUUCUUUCACGGGUCUUUGGGGUGACACCCUCGCUGGGAAACUCAGAGUUUUGGUCCACUGCGAAAGACCGCGCACCAUCUUCAAAGUUAAAUGCACUAAUGUCACUCGCGUAAAAAUAAAAACCGAGAUGUCUCGAUUCACAAAUAUGAAUUUUGUGGAUCAGGAGAGGCAGAUUUGUUACUAUGUUCCUUCUUCUUAUCGCGUGUUUACAAAUUCAAAUAUCUUUUUUUUUUUGCGAUUGUUUCCUAAAAAAAAAGUUUUGUAAUUUUUUUUAGGAGCCGUUUCGAGCACAGUCUUAUAACUCGAGCCAAAUUUUCGCAUCCGUGAUAAUCGAAGCUGCCGAAUUAUACAUGGCAUCCGAUCAUCGAAGAAUCUGACAAACUGUACUUUAAAUCAGAAGCACUUCCCGAGAGAUCAACACGCAGGCUGCGACAGGCUGCGAGCUGCGACUAGUUCUGCAGUUCCUCUGGACCGAGCAUCAUGGUGUCGAUGGGAACGAUGACGAUGAUAGUAGUGGUGGUGGUUAUACUGAUGGUGGAGGAGGAAGAGGAAGAGACGGCGAAGAAGGAGAAAAAGGGGAAAGAAUCGGUCGCGAGCCAUGAGAGCCAUUGGAACGACCGGGAGAAACUCCGUGAGCUGGUUUAUCUCUGCAGAGGUGUAAAAAGAUAACGAGUCAAGAUUAAGAUAUUGGUAAAUCUUUAAUCUUUAAACCAUAAUCUUCUCUCGCAAGAAUAAACUUUCAUUUUAGAACAAGAAGAGCGAUUUAGACGAACAAUUUGGACUCUGCAAAGCGUGCAUCUAUAUGUAUUAACGUUUGCAUAAUUUUCACGAUUUGCAAUGAUUUUCUAUGAUAUAUCAGUCAAGAAACUAAUCAGCGUUUGUAAAAACAUAUAUACACGAAGAAAUUGUACGACAAAACUCGAUUUCGUCUCUCGACUUCGGUACGUCUUUUUUGGAGAAACAAGGAAUUUAUCGAUGGUCCGAUCAAGAAAAGAGAGACACGUGUUGCCAAGUGCAAGUUUAUAGAGUAGUAUAAGGAGAAGGGGAAUAACGACAUUGCCGGAACUACAUAUAUGCCGCGAUAUGCCCAUGCAUUCAACUGUGCGCAGACUAGAGAUCUAACCACGGCCUUCUUCGACCUUCCCCCCACCGAUGAUCGGUUACAGGAUAUCUCUCGAAUCGGCUCUCUUGGCCGGUCACCGGCCACAUUAUUCUAAAUCUUGAUAUAUUCCAAUAGUCGCAAAAACGAUUUACCGCGUAUCGUGUCAUGCCUCGAAGCCGAAUCGUUGAAUGAGCGAAUAAAUAUCUAGGCAUAUUAAUCACUUAUUGAAUGUUCACUAUCGCCGCUCAUUAAAUCACUUCAGCUUUAAAUCGUAAUAGAUGUUGCUGCAAUUAUUCUGUCGUUUAAUAUUUUUGAUCGUUUAACCUUCUAUUGAUCCUAAAUUGUUUAUUGAGGAUUUAAAAGUUUUAAAUUUCUUAAUACAAACAAAAGGAAAGUUAAAUAAAAUGAAUGAUAAAUAUGUAUUUUUAUGUAUUAAAGUCUAGGAGAAAAAACGUAAAAGAAUGGAAAUGUUUUUGUAUCGGAGCUUCAAAAUUUCGAUAGUUGAUAAAAAUGAUAGAUAUAUAAAUAAAAAUUUAUAUAAAAAAAUUUAUAAAAAAAUUUUAAUGUUGAAAUAAAUAUAUAUAUAUAAAUAAUUAUAUAUAUAUAAUAUGUUUAUUGAACAAUAUUAUUCAAUCGAUCAUUCAUCGAUGCGUCUGUACUUUACGUCGCAUGCAUCUGCCCUCAAUCGCGAAGCUAAAGGUGGCAUAUGAAGUUGCCAUAUGCGCGAGCAAUCUCCGAGAUUCUCCACGCGAUCGGAUAAAUUUUCUUUUCAAGAAGUAGGGAUUUUCGUCGAGUCCACACACGUUCUACAUUACAGACGGAGCGCUGUUGAGGGGACAAAGGAGGGUUUUUCGAAGCGUGCUGGCGAUACAAGGAGCACCUGGCAAGAUGAUGGGAGGGAUCGAGCGUAUAUGCGGAGGAAGGAUAGGACGGAACACUGUUCGGAGAAUAAUAUUGGGAAGUAUGCAGCUGUCACAUACAGCAGCUGCAAACUUUUCGCUGUCUCUCUCUCUCUCAUUCCCACCCUCUUUCGUACUCCCUCUCUUUUUCCCUCUCCUCCCUCUCUUCUUCACCUUUUCUCUUUCCAUUUAUCUAUCUAUCUCUUUUUCUCUCGUUAAUCGGCAACCUUUCUUUUGUGCCUUCUGCCUCACGGCUGUGCGCUAUCUAAUUUCUGUCUUGGCAUACUGAUUCCUUUACAAAUUUUUAUAGUACUUAAUCAUAGUAAAUUUUGCAUAAUUAGAAUUUCGUCAAUAUAUGUGAAAAAUUUGAUUUCUUUUUAUAUUUCUUCUUCAUCAAAUUUGUUAAUAACUACUCCAAUGUACGAUUUUCUGUAAGAAUCAAUGCAAAUAUAAAAGUAAAAUAAUUUUUAAAUCCAUCAGAGAAAUAUGCUCAGAUUUUCAGCAAAUACUUUUGUUAGAGAAGAAAACAAUAAUCUACAAAAUUUUUAUGUGUGCGUGUGUUUGAUGAUUUUGAUAUAUGACUCAUAUCUAAUAAUUUCCAAAUUUUAAUUAUGUAUUAUCUCUUUAAGAAAUCAACUACUACUACCAUCAUCGCAAAAAAAAAAAAAAAAAAA